rnacentral:rRNA from 1 species
GACGAACCGUGCGAACGUUAUUCGGAAUCACUGGGCGUAAAGCGCACGUAGGCGGCUUUCUAAGUCAGGGGUGAAAUCCUGGAGCUCAACUCCAGAACUGCCUUUGAUACUGGAAAGCUUGAGUUCGGGAGAGGUGAGUGGAACUGCGAGUGUAGAGGUGAAAUUCGUAGAUAUUCGCAAGAACACCAGUGGCGAAGGCGGCUCACUGGCCCGAUACUGACGCUGAGGUGCGAAAGCGUGGGGAGCAAACAGG